GGGGAAAUCUUCCGGCUUAACCGGAAGGCGUCUCAGGGAUACUGGCAGACUAGGGACCGGAAGAGGUGAGAGGUACUCCAGGGGUAGGAGUGAAAUCCUGUAAUCCUUGGGGGACCACCUGUGGCGAAGGCGUCUCACCAGAACGGCUCCGACAGUGAGGGACGAAAGCUGGGGGAGCAAACCGGAUUAAAUACCCGGGUAGUCCCAGCCGUAAACGAUGUGCGUUAGGUGUAUCGGUGACCACGAGUCACCGAGGUGCCGAAGAGAAAUCGUGAAACGUGCCGCCUGGGAAGUACGGUCGCAAGGCUGAAACUUAAAGGAAUUGGCGGGGGAGCACCACAACAGGUGGAGCCUGCGGUUUAAUCGGACUCAACGCCGGGCAACUCACCAGAUAAGACAGCUGAAUGAUAGUCGGGCUGAAUACUCUACUUGACUAGCUGAGAGGAGGUGCAUGGCCGUCGUCAGUUCGUACUGUAGAAGG
rnacentral:rRNA from 1 species